GACAGAGGAGGCAAGCGUUGUUCGGAUUCACUGGGCUUAAAGAGCGCGUAGGCGGCUUGGUAAGUGUCAUGUGAAAGCCCACGGCUCAACCGUGGAAUUGCAGGGCAAACUGCCCGGAUUGAGGUCGUUAGGGGUGCCUGGAACUCUAGGUGGAGCGGUGAAAUGCGUAGAUAUCUAGAGGAACGCCCGUGGCGAAAGCGAGGUACUGGGACGAUUCUGACGCUGAGGCGCGAAAGCGUGGGGAGCAAACAGG
rnacentral:rRNA from 1 species